rnacentral:rRNA from 1 species
UACGGAGGGUGCAAGCGUUAUCCGGAUUUACUGGGUUUAAAGGGUGCGUAGGCGGGCUAUUAAGUCAGUGGUGAAAUCCCGGGGCUCAACCUCGGAACUGCCAUUGAUACUAUUAGCCUUGAAUUAUGUUGAGGUUGGCGGAAUAUAACAUGUAGCGGUGAAAUGCUUAGAUAUGUUAUGGAACACCGAUUGCGAAGGCAGCUGGCUAAACAUAUAUUGACGCUGAGGUACGAAAGCGUGGGUAGCGAACAAG